GACGAGGGAUCCUAGCGUUGUUCGGAAUUAUUGGGCGUAAAGCGGGUGUAGGCGGGCUUAUAAGUCAGUUGUGAAAUCCCAGGGCUCAACCCUGGAAGUGCAUCUGAUACUGUAAGCCUUGAAUGUGGUAGAGGUUACUAGAAUUCCUGGUGUAGUGGUGAAAUACGUAGAUAUCAGGAGGAAUACCAGAGGCGAAGGCGGGUAACUGGGCCAACAUUGACGCUGAGACCCGAAAGCGUGGGGAUCAAACAGG
rnacentral:rRNA from 1 species